CAUGUUCUCCCAUUUACUUCUACUGACUUUAACGGUCACUGCAACCUAUGGAGCUGACAAUUGCUUUAACGCAGAUCUGGGCAUCUCACGUCAAUUUUGUCAGCCGUGUGGAACUCCUGGCAUUGAUGAUUUCUGCGUCAAGAGAUAUGGAGCCUGUGGGAACUACGUAGUUGGUGGAUCAAAUCUUUAUGGUCUUCUUGGUGGAGGCGCAGGUCUUCCACCA
rnacentral:sRNA from 1 species